GGUUAAGCGACUAAGCGUACACGGUGGAUGCCCUGGCAGUCAGAGGCGAUGAAGGACGUGCUAAUCUGCGAAAAGCGUCGGUAAGGUGAUAUGAACCGUUACAGCCGGCGAUGUCCGAAUGGGGAAACCCAGUGCAAUUCGUUGCACUAUCGUUAACUGAAUACAUAGGUUAACGAGGCGAACCGGGGGAACUGAAACAUCUAAGUACCCCGAGGAAAAGAAAUCAACCGAGAUUCCCCCAGUAGCGGCGAGCGAACGGGGAGCAGCCCAGAGUCUGAAUCAGCUUGUGUGUUAGUGGAACGGUCUGGAAAGUCCGACGGUACAGGGUGAUAGUCCCGUACACCAAAAUGCACAGGUUGUGAACUCGAAGAGUAGGGCGGGACACGUGGUAUCCUGUCUGAAUAUGGGGGGACCAUCCUCCAAGGCUAAAUACUCCUGACUGACCGAUAGUGAACCAGUACCGUGAGGGAAAGGCGAAAAGAACCCCGGCGAGGGGAGUGAAAAAGAACCUGAAACCGUGUACGUACAAGCAGUGGGAGCACCUUCGGGUGUGACUGCGUACCUUUUGUAUAAUGGGUCAGCGACUUAUAUUCUGUAGCAAGGUUAACCGUAUAGGGGAGCCGCAGGGAAACCGAGUCUUAACUGGGCGUUAAGUUGCAGGGUAUAGACCCGAAACCCGGUGAUCUAGCCAUGGGCAGGUUGAAGGUUGGGUAACACUAACUGGAGGACCGAACCGACUAAUGUUGAAAAAUUAGCGGAUGACUUGUGGCUGGGGGUGAAAGGCCAAUCAAACCGGGAGAUAGCUGGUUCUCCCCGAAAGCUAUUUAGGUAGCGCCUCGUGAACUCAUCUUCGGGGGUAGAGCACUGUUUCGGCUAGGGGGUCAUCCCGACUUACCAACCCGAUGCAAACUACGAAUACCGAAGAAUGUUAUCACGGGAGACACACGGCGGGUGCUAACGUCCGUCGUGAAGAGGGAAACAACCCAGACCGCCAGCUAAGGUCCCAAAGUCAUGGUUAAGUGGGAAACGAUGUGGGAAGGCACAGACAGCCAGGAUGUUGGCUUAGAAGCAGCCAUCAUUUAAAGAAAGCGUAAUAGCUCACUGGUCGAGUCGGCCUGCGCGGAAGAUGUAACGGGGCUAAACCAUGCACCGAAGCUGCGGCAGCGACACUAUGUGUUGUUGGGUAGGGGAGCGUUCUGUAAGCCUGCGAAGGUGGCCUGUGAGGGUUGCUGGAGGUAUCAGAAGUGCGAAUGCUGACAUAAGUAACGAUAAAGCGGGUGAAAAGCCCGCUCGCCGGAAGACCAAGGGUUCCUGUCCAACGUUAAUCGGGGCAGGGUGAGUCGACCCCUAAGGCGAGGCCGAAAGGCGUAGUCGAUGGGAAACAGGUUAAUAUUCCUGUACUUGGUGUUACUGCGAAGGGGGGACGGAGAAGGCUAUGUUAGCCGGGCGACGGUUGUCCCGGUUUAAGCAUGUAGGCGGAGGUUCCAGGUAAAUCCGGUACCUUUUAACGCUGAGGUGUGAUGACGAGGCACUACGGUGCUGAAGUAACAAAUGCCCUGCUUCCAGGAAAAGCCUCUAAGCAUCAGGUAACAUUGAAUCGUACCCCAAACCGACACAGGUGGUCAGGUAGAGAAUACCAAGGCGCUUGAGAGAACUCGGGUGAAGGAACUAGGCAAAAUGGUGCCGUAACUUCGGGAGAAGGCACGCUGGUGUGUAGGUGAAGUCCCUGCGGACGGAGCUGAGACCAGUCGAAGAUACCAGCUGGCUGCAACUGUUUAUUAAAAACACAGCACUGUGCAAACACGAAAGUGGACGUAUACGGUGUGACGCCUGCCCGGUGCCGGAAGGUUAAUUGAUGGGGUUAUCCGUAAGGAGAAGCUCUUGAUCGAAGCCCCGGUAAACGGCGGCCGUAACUAUAACGGUCCUAAGGUAGCGAAAUUCCUUGUCGGGUAAGUUCCGACCUGCACGAAUGGCGUAAUGAUGGCCAGGCUGUCUCCACCCGAGACUCAGUGAAAUUGAACUCGCUGUGAAGAUGCAGUGUACCCGCGGCAAGACGGAAAGACCCCGUGAACCUUUACUAUAGCUUGACACUGAACAUUGAGCCUUGAUGUGUAGGAUAGGUGGGAGGCUUUGAAGCGUGGACGCCAGUCUGCGUGGAGCCAACCUUGAAAUACCACCCUUUAAUGUUUGAUGUUCUAACGUUGGCCCCUUAUCGGGGUUGCGGACAGUGUCUGGUGGGUAGUUUGACUGGGGCGGUCUCCUCCCAAAGAGUAACGGAGGAGCACGAAGGUUAGCUAAUCCUGGUCGGACAUCAGGAGGUUAGUGCAAUGGCAUAAGCUAGCUUGACUGCGAGCGUGACGGCGCGAGCAGGUGCGAAAGCAGGUCAUAGUGAUCCGGUGGUUCUGAAUGGAAGGGCCAUCGCUCAACGGAUAAAAGGUACUCCGGGGAUAACAGGCUGAUACCGCCCAAGAGUUCAUAUCGACGGCGGUGUUUGGCACCUCGAUGUCGGCUCAUCACAUCCUGGGGCUGAAGUAGGUCCCAAGGGUAUGGCUGUUCGCCAUUUAAAGUGGUACGCGAGCUGGGUUUAGAACGUCGUGAGACAGUUCGGUCCCUAUCUGCCGUGGGCGCUGGAGAAUUGAGGGGGGCUGCUCCUAGUACGAGAGGACCGGAGUGGACGCAUCACUGGUGUUCGGGUUGUCAUGCCAAUGGCACUGCCCGGUAGCUAAAUGCGGAAGAGAUAAGUGCUGAAAGCAUCUAAGCACGAAACUUGCCCCGAGAUGAGUUCUCCCUGAGACUAUAAGUCUCCUGAAGGAACGUUGAAGACGACGACGUUGAUAGGCCGGAUGUGUAAGCGCAGCGAUGCGUUGAGCUAACCGGUACUAAUGAACCGUGAGGCUUAACCUU
rnacentral:rRNA from 1 species